CCUACGGGUGGCAGCAGUGGGGAAUAUUGGUCAAUGGGCGCAAGCCUGACCCAGCCACGCAGCGUGCAGGAAGAAGGCUUUCUGGUUUUAAACUUCUUUUCUCAGGGGCGUAACAUGUGACACUACCUAAGGAAUAAACCUCGGCUAACUACGUGCCAGCAGCCCCGGUAAUACGUAGGUGGCAAGCGUUAUACGGAUUUGCUGGGUGUAAGGGGCGUGUAGGCGGGAAAGCAAGUCAGAUGUGAAAACCAGGGGCUCAACCUGUGGCCUGCAUUUGAAACUGGUUUUCUUGAGUACUUGAGAGGCAGACGGAAUUCCUAGUGUAGCGGUGAAAUGCGUAGAUAUUAGGAGGAACACCAGUGGCGAAGGCGGUCUGCGGGACAGCAACUGACGCUGAGGCGCGAAAGCGCGGGGAGCAAACAGGAUUAGAUACCCCAGUAGUC
rnacentral:rRNA from 1 species